rnacentral:rRNA from 1 species
UACGUAGGGUGCAAGCGUUAAUCGGAAUUACUGGGCGUAAAGCGUGCGCAGGCGGUUUUGUAAGUCUGUCGUGAAAUCCCCGGGCUCAACCUGGGAAUUGCGAUGGAGACUGCAAGGCUAGAAUCUGGCAGAGGGGGGUAGAAUUCCACGUGUAGCAGUGAAAUGCGUAGAGAUGUGGAGGAACACCGAUGGCGAAGGCAGCCCCCCUGGGUCAAGAUUGACGCUCAUGCACGAAAGCGUGGGGAGCAAACGGG